AAACUCCAUUAACACUUGGAGCGACAGAUGGAGGGGGUCUCAGGAGGACUCAAACUGGAGUUCAUCAAAAGGUCUGUUAUGCAUGUAUGCAAAAACAGCCACACACAUAGAACAGGCACCUGUAUGAAUACAUGCAAACACAUAUGCCACCACAUUGCCCUCAGAUUUGCCUUCUGUACUGUCGUGGACAUCUGCUGCUACUGACCGGCUUUUGUUGUCUCUGCCAGAUUUCCUGUGCUGGCAGCCAUCUUUGAAUGAAGCGAGUUUACACACCGAACUGUUUCCACUGGCAUUAAAUAUCUACAGUGAUUUUAGUUUUGGUGGUAAAUGCAUUAUUACAGACGGAUUUCUUUUUUUUCUAUAUUGUAACCCAGUUAGACGGGAAUUGCAGAUCAGUUUGCUGCUUUAGGCCCAAUUCAAUCCAGAUCCAGAUCUUUCAAUACCCAGAGAAGGUUCCUGGUCUUAAAUCCCGGUUAACACCAAAGUUUGGCCCAGACUAUGAAGCAACAGCCCAAUAAUACACCCAUGACUGUGGUACCAUGCUGUAAAUGGGCUGAAAUCAUGCAAUCCGACCUCAGCUUUAGGAUGGCCAUUUGUUGAACUAUGGAGAUGUUGUUUCCAGACUUUUUUAAAGCUAGCUGAAGGUGUGCCCCAGGGGCAAUUAUUGAUUUAUAUUUGUUUUUAAUAUUGUUAUUUUUUUUUAUUGUUUUUAAAUAUUUUUUUAUUCUGAAUGUAUGAAUUACUAUUUAUGUAUGUAUUAUUUUUUUAUGAUUAUAUAUUUUUUAUUUAUUUCUUAAUUAUUUUAUUUUAUACUUAUUAUUUUAUUUGAUACUUAUCAUUUAUUUAAAUUUUGUAUUUAUUUUUAUUUUUAUAUUAAUUUUAUAAUCAUAUAUAUUUUUUAAUUAUCUUAUUUUAUACUUGUUAUUUAUUUUUAUUUUGUAUUUAUUUUUAUUUUUAAUUAUUUUUUAAUUAUUAUUUUUUAUUAUUAAUAUUUGAUUUAUUAUUAUUAUUAGGACCUUCUAUUUUCCUGUUUCAUGACAUCAGAGUAUGUACAAUUAUAUUAAGAGGGGUGAAUUUUGGAAAUAUUCUCUUCGAGAAUAUAGUCAAAUUGUCAAAAAUAAUGCUUAAACCAAAUUUCAGAAUUACGUUAAGAUGUUGAGACACAAAGUUGAAGGUAAAUUUUAAAAAGAGUUAUUAAAACACCAAACUGAAAUCGUGUUUGCUUUUAUUUUUAACAGAGACUUUUUAACUAAGACCGCCACACUUUUUAGGUGUACCUCUGGGCUCCACUUUGGUGCCUCUGUGCUUUUCUUUUUUAUAUUAUGGCUUUGAAUAAACAAUGGAGCAAAAACAAAUGAAUAUGCAGAUGACACCGGGGUUUAUGAGCGUGCUCUCUGCAAGAACCCCUGAUGCAUUUGUCAAAGCCCCGGUGAGAUUUAGUGAGCUUUAAGGUUCUGAAAGGUAGCUAACGGUCUUCAAGGUGGAUCCAAAGACCAUCACGUUUGUGUCCGUCUUACUGAUCUAACAAUAAACGGUGUUGUAGGUGAAUGUGCUAAAAUAAACACACUUAUUUUUGAGGGUUAGAAAACUACAGAAGUCCUGAAGUUUGCUGUUUCCCUCCUUUUUCAGACAGAUUUGUUCUGAGAAACUGGAACAGGAGAUGACCGUUAUCAGAAGCGACUCCACACCCUGCAUGAUUUAUCCCCCUCACUUUAUCACUCCUGUGACUGGAAGGAAACAGUUAUUUGUUGGUUUUGAUGGCUGACAUUUCUGAACUCUUUACUUGAUGCUGUUUCUGAUUAACCCUGGAGGCGACAUCAAUCAGGAAUCUGCACUUUCUCCUCACCACCAGGAGCCACAUGCCUCCUCACUUAUCACUCGUUUUCUGGUUUUCUCUCCACGCUCCUGUUCUGUGUUUCUGACUUUAAAUUCCUGACAACCUGUAAUCAUCACUGUCAGGUACAGAAUGUCAUCUCCCUCACACCGCAUCCACACACACACACACACACACGCGCACACGCGCGCGCGCUCACACACACACACACACACACACACACACACACACACACACACACACACACACACACAGGUUCACUCAGUGUGAGACAGAGCAGGGGCCCAGGUGUCAGCUUGGAGAAAUGGCAGCCAUCACUUUGAUAACACAGCUCGGUGAGACACAAUCCUUGUCUGCUCCCUCCCCCCUCUCUCUUUCUCUGAGUCUCUUUGUAGAAACUUACUUUUUCUGUUGCUCCUUUGCUGCCUCUAUUUUUAAGAGAGAAGAAGAAGAAUGAGGACACGGCAACGCUUUGUCACCUCUGAAAGAGAAAAGCUGACAGAUUUCACUGCUCUCCAGUCAACAAAGUGAAAGUGAUUACUGCUCCAGCACACCAGUUUCCCAAGUCUACCUCAGGGAGAGGAAGUUUACCAACAGCCAUCCGUAAAACUAACUUUUCCUUCAUUUCUAAUGAAUCUGGACUUUGUGUCAUUUGACCCCAGUGACUAAUGAGGUGAAUGUCAAACAGGUAAGUCACAUGACUGGGUCUAAAAAUGACGUUCAGAAGGAAAGAUGAGAGAGGUUCACCACUCUGUGAGAGACUGUGUGAACUAACAGUUCAUCAGUUUCAGAAUAAUGUUACUGAGUGUCAAAGAAUUUGUGGAUUUAAUAAUCUACAGUACAUAAUAUGAGACAUGACGGAUAUGAGAAAUGACAAGGAGACAUUAAAAUAUGAGACAUAACAAAUGAGACAUGACAAAAAUGGGACAUGAUGAAUCAGACAAGACAAAUAUGAGACAUAACAAAAAUGACAAAUGGCAAAUAUACAACAUGACAAAAAUAAGACAUGACAAAUAUGAGACAUAACAAGAGACAAAAAUAAGACAUGACAAACAUGAGACAUGACAAAUGAGACAUGGCAAAUGAGACAAGACAAAUUUGAGACAUGACAAAAAUGACACAUGGCAGAUAGACAUGACAAAUAUGACACAUGACAAAAAUAACACAUGACACUCAGACAUGGCAAAUGCAACAUGACAAAAAUAACAUAUGAAAAAAGAGAAAUGCCAAAUAUGAGACAUGACAAAUGAGACAUGAAAAAUAUGAGACAUGAAAAAUAUGAGACAUGACAAAACAAAGACGUUAAAAAAUGAAGACAUAACAAAUGGGACAUGACAAAUAUGAGGAAUGCCAAAUAUGAGACAUGACAAAUAUGACAUGAAAAAUAUGAGACAUGACAAAUAAGACAUGACAAAGAUAAAAAAUAUGAGAAAUGACAAGGUACACGACAAAUAUGAGACAUGACAAAUGAGACAUGACAAAUAUGAGAUGAUCAAAAUGACACAUGGCAGAUGAGAUAUGACAAAUUUGAGACAUGACAAAAAUGAAUCAUGACAUUGAGACAUGACAAAUGAGACAUGACAAAUGAGACAUGACAAAUAUGAGACAUGACAAAAAUGCAACAUGACAAAUAUGAGUCAUGACAAAAGAGACUACAGACAAUUGAUUAUAAAGUUCUUGUUCUUAUUCUUGAUUUCAUUUAAAGGUUCAGAGGAUCUGAAGAAAUGGCCUGUCUCAAUGGCCUGUCAGACUCCAGAACCUGGUUUACUGGGUUCACUAAAGUCUACAGAGUCCCUUUCUUUUUGGAGUUGGGGUCGUAAAUGUGGACUAAUUUUUCUGCAGCACUUCACUCUAUAAGAAAAAAUAUCAACAUGUGCAGCAGAAAACAGGCGCCUCAGUCUGGGUCUUGUGAGUCCUGUGAGAAAAAGUGUGCUGUCAGCAGAGAUGCCUUUGGAAACACCAGAACAUAUGUACUGCCUGAAAACACACAUUUAGUACGAAGCAGGGCCUCUCAGUGUCCAUCAGUCAAAUUCAGUUUGAGUUAAAAUGUGAGAAGAAAAACUGAUGGUCUGUGAGUUUAAAGCCGAGAGUUUUGCUGAGCGUAAAUCUUCUCGACUGUUUUUCUUUGAGUCCACAGACCUGAGUGCUUCUGUCUGCUGCUGUGAAGAUAAUAUGUAGAAACUGCAACACUGCAUCUCAGCAGGAGAGUAAAUACUGCUGAUACACCAGACUCAAGAAGGCUGGAGGUAAAGACUAAUUCAUGUCUGAAAGUCAUCAUCAGGAGACAAGAGUGAUGGGAGAACAUCUCUCAUCUUCAGCUGGUUCAGACUUCUUCAUUAGUCCAUCUAGAGAAGUGUUUUUCAACCUUUUUUGCGCCACGGCACAUUUUCUACAUUGACAAAAUCCUGGGGCACACCACCAACCAAAAUAACAGUCUGUAGCCGAACACAGUAUAUGUAUUAGAACGUAGGAAUGCACCAAAAAUGAGGAAACCAAGGCCGAAAACCGAAAGAAAUUAUUUUGCCAAUUAUUAGUACCAUUGUAUUUAUGGCUAUGACUGUGUACUAAUUGCACUAGAAUCAAGGCUUUGCAAUUGUACAAAUUAUUAUAAUAUUAAUUUAUGCCACUGCAAUGAGAGUUUGGAGUUUUGGAGUCAGCAUGUUGCUGCAUGUUCUUAGUGGUUUACACCUUUAGAUGGCGCCCGUGAGUCAAAACAACAAAUGUUUCGGCUGAAAUCCGAAAUGCACUUUUGAGCCAUUUUUGGUGGCUGAAUUUUUGGUGCAUCCCUAGAAUAUACUUAGUGAUAUGGUUUCUAAAUGUAUUAAUAUUUACUCAGUGUGAACCCUGGACGCGAAUUUUUUUUUUUGGUAGGAUGGUAGGGGAAUGUCCCUCCCUCCUUCACCUCUGAUUGGCUAGAAGUGCUGGGCUCCGAUUGGUUAUUCCUUAUGACUGUGAAACGUCAUCGUCUGCUGGGUUAGGGUUAGGAGAUUCAGAAGUGUGAUAAUGUUCUCUAAUGUUCUGUUUGAUGUACAGAGCUGACUGCCCGCGUUUGACUUGAGCAUGUGAUGACGUUUCCAGCUUUUCUAGCCAAUCAGAGGCGAUGGAGGCUGGACUUUCCCCUACCAUCCUACAAAAAAAAAAAAAAAAUGCACCUUGACCCUGUUGAGAUGAACACAAAGCUGAUAUCCUGGCAGGAAUGGAAGAAAGACUCACACUAAGCUCUUCCUCAACAGCUCCCAGUCUCUCUAUAGUUUUUGUAUUUUUCACAAGCAAUUAGCCGUCUGCUGCCACCUACUGGCAUAGAAUAGUAUUACUCUGACGCUCACUUUUUUACAGCACAGACACUCAACAAUAGCUAUUAUUUUCAAAUUCAAUAAUAUCCCACAGCACACCUGACGACCUCUCACAGUACACAGGUUAAAAAUUACUGAUUUAGAGCUCAGGUCUACAGCAGCAUGAGAAGGACUUUAACAUCUCACUCCCCCUCAUCCUCCUGCAGGUUUCAUGAGUGAAAAAUCAAGUGAAAGCAUUCAUGGUCCUGAAGAUGAUCGGGUCCAAAGGUUAUCUCCUGAGCUGUUUUGUUUUCUCAUCCAUCUCUGACUUCAUGAAUCUUCAUUCUUCUCCUCAUUAAUCAGCAGGUUUCACUCUGACAGCUGUUCCUCUCUGCAGCUGUCGGAAAUCUGUUUUUCAUUUUCUGCAUAUCGAUCGUGCUCUCUCUCCCUCUGUUCUGCUGUCGCUCGCCCCGUGUUUCAACAGUUUGCCAUCGUCCCCCGGGAGACGGUGUAACACGCACAGCUGAUGUGACGGACAGAUGUCUCCUCCGGCAGCUGGGGCACCGCGUGAGAGCGAGAUGUAAAUGUGGGUAAGUGGAGCGCCUGUUAAUGACAGAGCGUGUUCUUCAAACACAGAUGUACGCAGGAGGAAAACAAGCCCACCUGCUCUACAGUCACUUCACCACCACACAGACAUGAACCAUCAUAAAAAGACGCCUCAUUAAAACUCCUGCAGACCUGAGGGCUCUCACAGGAUCAGGACUAGAGCAGAGCUGUAGGAGGACCAUGAGGAACAAAAACUCAGACUAUCUCAGACUGGGUUUAUGGCUGUUAGCAUCUCCACUCUCUACCGCUCAGAGCUGCCCUGUGCACCCUAAUCCUGACAGAGUCUCAGAGUAUGUGAGGAGCUGGAUGGAGAGGUUAUUAUUAUUAUUUUUAUCAUAUUAUGACAGAUGUGACGUAGGGGCUAGGUCUAUACUUUAUCCUACUGAGAUGCUUGACCCAGAGUAACCUGGGUCAAAAAUUUAUCGGGAUGAACUUUACCAAAGUCCAUUUGCAAUUCCCAUCAAACAACACCGAGUAAACAAAGAAAAUGCUGCCAUUAAGCACCACAGUGAUCAAAAACAUUUUUGCCCUCCCGGGUCAAUCACUUUCCAACAACAGUCAGUACGUUUACAUACACAGUAUAAUCGGACUAAGCUAAUAAUUCGUUUUUUUUUUUUUUCGCUGAAUCGGACUUCUCUUCUUGUACAUGCAGCAGAGAAAAUUGAAUUAUUGACGUGAACGUGCCCUGCUCCCCAAAACUAGGGGGCGAUAUGGGUCUUCACAGAAGCGCUGUUUCCGGAACUUUUUAAAAUAUGUCUCCGUUCCUCGUUUUGCAACCGUCCAAAUACUUUAAAAUGUCAAUUUCUGUCACGACGGAAAGCAUAAUGGCGCUCUCCUCGUCGUUCCAAAAGUGGACGUUCUUUUGUGCUUUAGCUGUGUUGCUUCUGAGUUUAAAGUUCUUUAAAUGAUAGCGCCGCUUCUUCUCUGGUGUUUCUGUUCCGGGGUUACGAAGGUGUGGCGCACACACACAUACAUUGUCUGAUCAUUCUCUGACUACGCUGCUUACAUGGUAGAGAAAAUCGAAUUCCAAUCACAUUAUCUGGGUGUCUCAAUUCGAGUUCUCAAACUCUGAUUAUAGUCGGACUAAGGUGUUUACAUGCACUUCAGUUGUCCGGUCUUAAUCAAAGUAAGGCGAUAAUACGGUUUUCUCAAGUGUCAUGGAAACGUACUGAUUGACAUAGCUACCUUUAUUCCUCAGCCCCAGAUAACAGGACAGCGACACUUACAGCACACAAAGUGAACUGCAGCUUAUUCUAGGUUAUAACUUCAAUAUCUUUGGCUCCGACAUGUGACAAAUUUUACAGACAGCCUAGUUUUACUCCUCAUUAUAGAAGUUGUCGUUUUCUUCCGCUUCAUCCAGGCAGCAGCUUCAGGAGGGAAGCCCAGACGGCCCUCACCCCAGCCACUUCUACCAGCUCCUCCAGGGGGGAUUCCCAGGCGCUCCCAGGCCAGGCGAGAGAUAUAAUCCCUCCACCUGGUCCUGGGCUGGCCACGAGGUCUCCUCCCGGUGGGACAUGUCCAGAACACCUCUAACGGGAGGCGUCCAGAAGACAUCCUAACCAGAGCCACCUCAGCUGACUCCUCUCAACGUGGAGGAGCAGCAGUUCUACUCUGAGCGCCUCCCGAGUGUCUGAGCUCCUUGCCCUAUCUCUAAGGCUGAGCCCGUCCAACCUGGGGAGGAAUCCCAUUUCGGCCGCUUGUAUCUGCUUUCUUGUUCUUUCGGUCAUUACCCAAAGUUCAUGAACAUAGGUGAGGAUCGGCACAUAGAUCGACCGGUAAAUCGAGAAUCUCACCUUACGGCUCAGCUCUUUCUUCA